rnacentral:rRNA from 1 species
GCGCGAAAGCGCGACACGGGAAACCUGAGUGCCUUGACAAAGUCAAGGCUUUUCUCAAGCCUAAAAAGCUUGAGGAAUAAGAGCUGGGUAAGACGGGUGCCAGCCGCCGCGGUAACACCCGCAGCUCGAGUGGUGGUCACUUUUAUUGAGCCUAAAGCGUUCGUAGCCGGUUCCGUAAAUCUUCAGAUAAAUUCUUCUGCUCAACAGAAGAGCUUCUGAAGAGACUGUGGAACUAGGGACCGGGUGAGGUUGAAGGUACUUCUGGGGUAGGGGUAAAAUCCUGUAAUCCUGGAAGGACCACCGGUGGCGAAGGCGUUCAACUAGAACGGAUCCGACGGUGAGGAACGAGGGCUAGGGGAGCAAACCGGAUUAGAUACCCGGGUAGUCCUAGCUGUAAACACUGCCCACUUGGUGUUGCUUCUCCGAUGAGGGGAAGCAGUGCCGGAGCGAAGGUGUUAAGUGGGCCGCUUGGGGAGUAUGGUCGCAAGGCUGAAACUUAAAGGAAUUGGCGGGGGAGCACCGCAACGGGAGGAGCGUGCGGUUUAAUUGGAUUCAACGCCGGAAAACUCACCGGGAGCGACCUUUGCAUGAGAGUCAACCUGACGAGUUUACUCGAUAGAAGGAGAGGUGGUGCAUGGCCGUCGUCAGCUCGUACCGUAAGGCGUUCACUUAAGUGUGAUAACGAGCGAGACCCCCAUCUUUAAUUGCCAGCUUGUCUUAGCGGACAAGGGCACUUUAGAGGGACCGCCAGCGCUAAGCUGGAGGAAGGAGGGGUCGACGGCAGGUCAGUACGCCCCGAAUCUCCCGGGCAACACGCGCGCUACAAAGGGCAGGACAAUGAGAUGCGACCUCGAAAGGGGGAGCCAACCUCGAAACCUGUUCGUAGUUAGGAUUGAGGGCUGUAACUCGCCCUCAUGAAUGUGGAUUCCGUAGUAAUCGCGGGUCAACAGCCCGCGGUGAAUAUGCCCCUGCUCCUUGCACACACCGCCCGUCAAACCAUCCGAGCUGGUGUUGGAUGAGGGUAUGCUCGAAAGGGCAAACUCGAAUCUGAUGUCAGUGAGGAGGGUUAAGUCGUAACAAGGUAUCCGUAGGGGAACCUGCGGAUG